AACGAACGCUGGCGGCAUGCCUAACACAUGCAAGUCGAACGAGGACUUCGGGUCUAGUGGCGCACGGGUGCGUAACGCGUGGGAACCUGCACUUAGGUUCGGAAUAACUCCCCGAAAGGGGUCCUAAUACCGGAUAAUGUCUUCGGACCAAAGAUUUGGCGCGUUUGGAUGGGCUCGCGUUUGAUUAGCUAGUUGGUAGGGUAGAGGCCUACCAAGGCUACGUUGGGUAGCUGGUCUGAGAGGAGGAUCGGCGACAUUGGGACUGAGAUACGGCCCAGACUACUACGGGAGGCAGAAGUGGGGAAUAUUGCACAAUGGGCGGGAGCAUGAUGCAGCAACGCAGCGUGCGGGAUGACGGCCUUCGGGUUGUAAACCGCUUUCGCCUGUGACGAAGCGUGAGUGACGGUAAUGGGUAAAGAAGCACCGGCUAACUACGUG
rnacentral:rRNA from 1 species